UACGGGGGGGGCAAGCGUUGUUCGGAAUUACUGGGCGUAAAGGGCUCGUAGGCGGCCAACUAAGUCAGACGUGAAAUCCCUCGGCUCAACCGGGGAACUGCGUCUGAUACUGGAUGGCUUGAAUCCGGGAGAGGGAUGCGGAAUUCCAGGUGUAGCGGUGAAAUGCGUAGAUAUCUGGAGGAACACCGGUGGCGAAGGCGGGUCUCUGGGCAAUUCCUGACGCUGAGGCGCGAAAGCGUGGGGAGCAAACGGG
rnacentral:rRNA from 1 species